GUGGGUGUAGCUCAGCUGGUUAGAGCACCAGGUUGUGGCCCUGGGGGUCGAGGGUUCAAAUCCCUUCACUCACCCCA
rnacentral:tRNA from 1 species